CAGAUGACAUGAAACUUAAAAUCCCAUUAAAGUUUCCAAGCCCUCUUCCACAACACUAGACAAGGUACUGCUGGUGGGAUUCCUAGCGGAGCAAUUUGCCCGAAUCUCCCCUUGUGUUCCCGUCAGCACAUUCAACAUUCCCAUCUUAAGCAUACCAAUAAUAAAAUUCUCGUAAAACAAGCUCUGGUUGACAGCAAAACUUGUGACAAUGCUCCGUGUCCUGUUAUCCGUAUACAAAUCCUGGUCCGAAGUGAACAGCCCUUGCCGAUUCAUGAGGUCGACAUAGUACUUGUUGUCGAAUACAUUCGGGGUUCGGAUAUCGAGAUUAGUCGUGUUGGUAGAGUUUGUGGUUGGACAAGUGAUUUUGAGGUUCGUAGCAAAGGUUUGAUCCAUGGUAGAGUCUUGGGUGGGGUAGAGUCUACUGGUGAAAGAAGUGCAAUGACCAAUGCCGAUUGUGUGGCCCCCGGAGAGUGCGACAGCGUCGGUGGUGGUGAGAUUUUUGGUGGCCAGAGAGGAGAGGAUGUCACUCGUAUUCGAAGUUGGUGCGGGAAGGUUAGCGAGAGUGUCAUUUUGGGUUGCGAAGUCGAGGCUGUCGCGGCGUCCGAAUGGCACGCUGUAGUUUGGACCACCGGACUGUUUAAGAGACAAAAAAAAUAGUGAAUUAAUUAGGUAUACAUAAAAUUAUGCUACAAAAGUCUUGAAUGAAAAUACCAAAAUCUAAAUGUAAUGUCUGUCUAUAUAUUAUUACUAUAUGAAUCCAGAACAUUUGUUAUAUUUGGUAAUGCAUCCUGCUGGGAGCGGAUCUGGAAACAAAAUCUUGAGGACACCAAGCAAAUUUUCAGAAAACGUUUAUAUGUUUUUAAAUUUUGGGGGACAAUUUUAUAAUUGUGUAAAAUUUAGAAUGGUGAAGAAAAUGUAAAAAAAGUUCUUGGGGAGGCACUUGUCCCCCGUGCCUCUUACUAGAUCCGCUCCUGCAUCUUGCAGUACGUUCUUGAAAAAAAAAAUUCUCAUCAGGACUCAAGAGCCAUGAUCUAGUUACCGAAACAAAAACAUGUAGCAUGAAAAAGAAAAUAAUAGAGUUUUAUAUAUAAACUCCAUCAAUCUUGCGCUCACAAAGCUAGAAAGUUAUGGGUAAUUAGGUGGGUAUUUACCAGAACAACUGCAUCACGAGCCGCAACAGCAGUAAUAUCAGCACAUGAGACAACACUCCCACAUUGAUUCUGAACUAGGCUCCUGAGUUCUUCGAUGAUCUGAAAAGCCUGGGGCCUUAAUGUAAGGUUCGGUGUUGCAUUUUUUUCGCCUGGUCCACUUGCUGAACCAUCUAGCAGAACUGACGCAUCACAUCCCUGGCAUCGUAUAUAUAUUACAGACAACACUACAUAAAUUGCCAUCGAAUAAUUUUAAAUCCUCAGCAGUUAAUCAAGAAAAAUUAAUAAUUACCAACAGUUUAUUAAGUUCUAGAGUAUAAUUAUAUAGCAAAUAAAAAAAAGUCUUUUAAUUUCACAUAUCUGAAAUUAUCUGAAUACCUCAACUGGUGCAAAUAAGAAAAUAAACUAACAGCUCCACUGUCUCUAACUAAAACUUAGUAAGAACAAUUAUGAUGACGAUGAGUGUAAGUUUGAAAUGUAGAAACCUGCACAAAACAAUCAUGGAAGUGCAACCGGAGCAAUCCAGCCGCAAGUCCUAUAUCGGAGGCGAACUCAGUCUGAAGCCUUGUCCUGACGAUGGUUUCAAAGUCAGGGCAGCUUGUAUUAUAGAAAGUGUAGGAGAGUCCUGACACCAGAGGCGGAGUUUGUGCUUCCGACACAUACAAGUAGCCGGAAGAGAGUAGCAAAAGACAUGGUACGAUAAGUAGUUGGGAAAUUAAAGAAGCAAAAGUUGAGGCCAUGAUUUUUGUUGCUUCUAUGUUUGUUCAGGUAUUAAGUGCAAGGGAGCCUGUAUAUAUACAAUUUUUUGAUUGACGUAGAUAGCUAACUAGGUUGAAAAUCCCAUGCACUUCACUAGCCGCAGAUAUUUACAAUUUCGGGGAUUUUUUUUUUAUUAUUUCUCGACGCAACGUGAUAAAAUUAAUCUUUUGGGGAUUUCAUAAAAUGCUAACAUCGAUCGAUAAAUGUUGAGAGUGAAACCGGAAUUAACAAAAAAUGCUUUCUAUUGUACAGUAGUAAGUAUAAUUUAUACUACAUUGCGCGGUAAUGAUAUCAUUUAACACAUAUUAAUCCACAUUAAUUACACCAAACUUAGAUUACCCUAAUUGUUUGAAGUUUGAUAUUACACUGAUUGUUAAUUUGAAGUUUGAUAGUACAUAUUUGGACUAUCAAUUGGUGUCCGUUGAUAUGUUAUCUACUUUCGAAUUUUCUAUGGUGUGCGCAAGGGCACACAAUAGUCACUAACUCCCAUGAAAAUUCUAGCUUUUGAUUGGUGGAUGGAUAAUAAAUGUAAAUGGCCCCCUGCAUUCACAUCAAUUUCACCAAUCAAAACAAGUCAUUUUCAUGGUAGUUUGUGCUUAUUGUGUGCCCUUGGGCACACAUUAGAAAGACCGAUCUACUUUAUAAUACUCUAACCAUCCUUCAAAGUUUCAGCCACAAAUACUGAAAUACACAAAGGUAGUCAUUGGCCAGCUGAACGCGUGUUUCUUGUUUAACACAAUGCACUGUACAUUUACUUGGUUACAAUUUGAUCACCAUAAAGCAGAUGUGGAAUUUAGACUUUUGCAUUUAACUCUAUUUACUGAAAUUUAUUGGUUUUCAUUAAUCAUCCUUACAAAUUUCAUACAUCCAUUACGUCAACUUUAAUUUCAGCAAAUAAUUUUAUUAGUUAUUGCAAUUUAACCCGGGUCACUGAUAUGAAAGUUUUCAAUAUAUAGAUAUAUAAAAAGUCAUUUAUUUGUAAAGACCGCUUGUCACAGCAAGCAAACACAGAUGAUAAGAAAUUUAAAAUCCCAUCAAAGUUUCCAAUCCCUCUUCCACAACAGUAGACAAGAAACUGCUGGUCGGAUUCCUGGCCGAGCAGUUCGCCCGAAUCUCCCCUUGUGUUCCGGUCAGCACAUUCAACAUCCCCAUCUUCAGCAUCCCAAUAAUAAACUUCUCGUAAAACAAGCUCUGGUUCACAGCAAAACCUGUAACAAUGCUCCGUGUCCUGCUAUCCGUAUACAAAUCCUGGUCCGAAGUGAACAGCCCUUGCCGAUUCAUGAGGUCAACAUAGUACUUGUUGUCGAAUACAUUCGGGCUUCGGAUAUCUAGAUUAGUCGUGUUGGUGGAGUUUGUGGUUGGACAAGUGAUUUUGAGGUUGUUAGCGAAGGUUUGAUCCAUGGUAGAGUCUUGGGUGGGGUAGAGUCUCCCGGUGAAAGAAGUGCAAUGGCCAAUGCCGAUAGUGUGGCCCCCCGAGAGCGCGACUGCGUCGGUGGCGGUGAGAUUUUUGGUGGCCAGAGAGGAGAGGAUGGCACUUGUAUUGGCAGUCGGCGGGGGAAGAUUAGCCAAAGUUGCAUUUCUGGUUGCAAAGUUGAGGCUGUCGCGGCGCCCGAAUGGCACUCGGUAGUUUGGACCACCGGACUGGAUAUAAAAGGAAAGCAAUUUAGUAAAUUUAUUAGGUCCACAUAAAUUUAUGCUCAAAAAACAAGUUUUUAAUGAAAAUGCUAAAAUCUAGUUUUCUUUUUCUCUGUGUGCAAAUAUACACUUAAAUAUUGGAAAAUUAGCUAGGUAAUUACCAGAACAACUGCAUCACGAGCCGCAAGAGCAGUAAUAUCAGCACAUGAGACGAUUCUUCCACAUUGAUUCUGAACUAGCCUCCUGAGUUCUUCGAUGAUCUGGAAAGCCUUGGCCCUCAGUGUAAGGUUUGGUGGUGCAUUUUUUUCGCUAGGUCCACUUGCUGAACCAUCUAGCAAAACUGAGGCAUCACAUCCCUGGCAUCAUCCAUUGCAAACAAGUGUUAUAUUUAUCUGUACAUUUACAUAAAUAAAUUGGUACCAAAAAAUUUGUGCCAAUCAAAUUAUCACCAGCAGCCAAUUAGUAAAAAUUAAAAAUAAAAUAAAAAUCUCCAGCAGUUUGUAAAAAUCCAGAGGAUAAUUAUACAGUAAAUAAAUAAAUAAAAUUACUUCACAAGUUCACAUAUCUGAAUCUCAUUAACAAUUGUGAAUUAGCAAUAUUAUAUUACUAGCUCAAAAACUAAUUAAUUAACUAAAAAAGAACAUACUAUCACACUAAAACUUAUAAAGUAAGAAUGAAUUAUGGUGGUGAGUGUGAGUAUAAAAUGAAGAAACCUGCACAAAACAAUCAUGGAAAUGCAUCCGGAGCAAUCCAGCCGCAAGACCUAUAUCGGAGGCGAACUCAGUCUGAAGCCUGGUCCUGACAAUGGAUUCAAAGUUAGGGCAGCUUGUACUAUAGAAAGUGUAGGAGAGUCCGGACACCAGAGGUGGAGUUUGUGCUUCCGACACGUACAAGAAACCGGAAGAGAGUAGCAAAAGACAUGGUACGAUAAGUAGUUGAGGGAUUAAAGAAGCAGAAGUUGAGGCCAUGAUUCUUGCUUCUGUGUUUGUUCAGGCCUCCAGUGUAUUAAGUGAAGGGAGGAAGCUAGCUGUAUAUAUACAAAUUUUUGACCUAGAUUGCUAGGUGUUGAUAAUCCCAUGCACUUUCACCAACUAGACAAGAAAUUAUCAAGAAGCAUAAAAAAUGUCAAAGUAAUAAAAGGUCUUAAGAUUUAAUAACAUACAAACGUUAAAAGAUAAAUAAAUUCUGAUGUUGUGAUUGGUUGGGGAAAAUGAAUGGAACAGACAGGAAUAGAAUGAGUAAAAUUACUUAAAAUUAAUAAAUGUAGCAAGAAAGUUGUGAAAAAAAAAUCAAGUGAGUGUAAUAUUAUUAUGCUAAGAUUGGUGGUGAAGAAAUUGGGUGUAAUAGGAGAGAAUGGAGCAUUCCAUCUCAAAUUAAAGGUGUGAUUUCUAGCACAUGAAAUAAGGAAUGGAGAAAGAAAUGAAGUUUCCUAACAAUUCUCCAUAACAUAGUUCAUUUUUCAUUCGGUUUCUUCCGGAAUCAUUCACCCCAACCAAAUACAAGGUGUUCAAAUAACGCCAUGCUUGAUAUCCUAUGCACAUUUUUUUUAUAUAUACUUUGAUUUUAUAGCCAAAAAAAAGUCACAUUUUAUCAUUUUUUUAUAUCAAGUCCAUAAAUUUAAUUUAAUUUUAUAAUUAAUAAAUGUUUUACUAAUCGUGUGGAGGACAUGAGCGAGAGCUUUAAUUACAAAAGUCUAAAUUGAACACAUAAAGGUCCAUCUCAAACACGCAAGGUGUCCACGCUCCAAAAUUUUUAAUAUAUUAAAGGUAAACCUAACUACUAGAAUUACUACUAUGACAUGAUGCAUGGGGCAUUUGCCGUGUGCGGCUGAGACUUGAGAGCGAGAGCUUAUAGAAUAAUAUGCUUCCGAUAUAUGCAACAUAAAAAUUAAAGAAAAUAGAGAAGAAGAAGAAUAUGCUUCCAGUAACGGGCCUGCUUGGCUUAAAUGUGUAAUAAUUAGUCAGUAUUAAAUAUAAUUUAUUAAUAAUUUUUUAAUAAUUUUUAAUUAUUGAUAAUAUAAAUUAUUUAAAUAAAUAUUAAUAUAAUAUUUUCAAUUUCAAUCCAUCGAAUCACUCUAAAUUAUAAAUUAUUAACUUAAAAUUAUAUCUUAAUUCAUACGAGCUACACAUGACAAUAACUACAAUAAUACGAGUAAUGACAGUAUUUGUUUUUAUAAUCUAGACAACACCAAAAUUAUAUUAUAAUACCAAUAUGCCCUCUAGAAAAUAAGAGAUAAGCCGUUUUUAUAUACUGAUUCAGCGCAUAGACGCGGGUUAAGUUACAAAAUAGUUUCCCAACCAACAUAUAUAGGCGAUAAGGACAGCCAGUGUAUUUAACAGCAAUUCAUAUUAUCAGACGACUAUAUAUAUUAGUCUAUACAUAAGUAGAAAGUGACCGUAUGGCAUCAGAAGUUUAUCAUAGAUAUUAUAAAAUUAUUUUCACAAUAAAAUAAAUUAUUUCCACAAUAAAAUAAACUUUAUAAAUAGGAGUAUUCAAAGUCAAGCCAGAAGGUCAACUUACUAACAUAUAUCUGAAACAAUUUAAUUAUGCAUCGAAUUUAUACGUGGUAUGUGCACAAUCCACAUGAACACGAGUAGUACACAACAAUAAUUUGAGUGCAAUUAUUUCUCGAUGGCCUACAAGCAAGCAAGCACAAAAAAGUUUCGUUCACAAAAAAUUCAUGUUGUGCGUUUAUGCCAAAGCUCCGUCCUUUCAAACUGUCGCCACAAAUCAACAUACACGUAAAUACAGCCAAGAUGAAUGCAUGUUUGUCGUUAAGAGCAAUCCGGGGUGCCAAAAAGAGUGCUAAAAUGACAUGUGUAAUGAUGUGGCAUGACAUUUUUGUUGACUCUUCAUUGGAGUGGAAGGAGUGUCAAGCAAAGUUACCAAUUUUGGCACCUUCAUAAAAAUAAAAAAAAAUGUAUAAAUCAUUCUAAAAUCAUUUAGUUUCCUAUCUUGUUAUAAUUAUACAUGUACAAAUAUGUGGUAACUUGGGGUGCCAACCAUUGAAGUAAAUUUUUAUGUAAAAGUUGUCCAAACAGAAAAAAAUAAAAUAAUAAUAUUUUUAAUAAUUUAUUGUUUUAAACUAUUUUAGUUAGCCCAUCUAUCCGAGAUGCUCUACCGUCGCCCGUCGGUACUUAAUUAUGCACGGGAUGGUUGAAAAUUCCACAAGGUGAUCAUCAAUUGAAUAAAGACCACGCACGAUGUUUUAAAAUAUUUGAUGUUUUAAUUUCUGCAUUUGUAGAUAAGAAGGUGUCCAAUUUUGACUUAUGCGUUUACGUUCAAAAUGUGCCAAGACUUUGCAUGCAGAGCGAAUCUUUGAAAUCCAAAACUAACGAAACUUACAAAUCUGUGGGGGGGACUAUAACGCGGUUUACACGUUUUUUGGUUGCAAAAGUAAUCUGUACUUGGAAGGCCUAACUUUUUAGGCAUAAAAGACUUAAAAGUAAAUAUUUUUAAAAAAAUUUAUGAAGUGUCAAUCACUAUAUACUUAGAGCAACUCCAGCAGCUUCCCUAUAUCAUGUCCUAAGUCCAAUUAUAAGGAAUGUGACAUAAAUUAGUGCUCCAGCAGUGUCUUAGAAGUGCCUUAAAUCACUAGGAUCCUUCUUACAUGCCUUAUUAAUAAGACACCACUAGUCAUGCCUUAUUUGAUUUCUUUAAUAAAAAAAUCAUUUCUCUCUCUUAUUGUAACUUAUUUUCUCUCUCUUCCUUCCUUCUUUUUUCAAUCUCUUUCCAAAUUUAUUAUUAUAAUAAUAAUAAGGAAUGAAUUAUAAGGAUCAUUGUUGGAGUUGAAAUACAAAGUCUUGUCCUAAAUCACUAGGAUUCAAUAUUUUAUAAUAUUUAUAAGGAAGACACUAAGACACUGCUGGAGAUGCUCUUAUAUAUUAAAUUUUAUAUAUUUAGUUUAUAUUGAUUGACUCAUGUUUAUUAAUAAUGAUGAACUCAUAUAUGUAUAAAUGAAAAUUAGUUAAAUACAUAAAAUUUAAUUAUUUAUUUGUGUCAUGAGCACGUAUUAAAUAAAUCCUUUUGCAGUGUAUUGAGAUAUACGACUCUCUAAAAUAUAACAUAUUAAAUACUGUGAGUACUCAAGGUAGAGAGAUGACACUUUACUUAAUAUAUAGGUAAGAGGGAAAGUUUAGUUAAAGGACUUUCUCUUUACAUAUACACACCUUACAUUCCGGAAUGCUCGGAUGAUUAAUUAGUGAAAUCAGUUUAGUUCUGCACUUUCUCUUCGGUUAUCAUGAUUAGGUGUAGAAUAUAUUAAGAAAUAUUAUAUAUACAAAAUUGGAUAUAAAAUUUUUUAUAAUAUGAUAUGGGUUGAAUUUUGAUUAGAAUAAAUUUCAUGUACUUACAUAGAUAAUAUAAAUUAAAACAUCUCACUCCAUUUAUCAUAUCAUACAGAAUUUUAUAUCCAAUUUUAUGUAUAUUAGUUAUUCACUGUAUUAUUGCUGGAUCACGACACCGCUACCUAACUAGGGGUGAUCAGAAAACCGCCCAAACCGCCCGCACCGCACCGAACCGCACCACAAAACGCGGUUUUUAAUUUUCGUGGUGCGGUUGCGGUUUGGAUCUUUCACAAACCGCGCGGUGCGGUGCGGGUUGCGGUUUUAGUUUUCUUGAAUGCGGUUCAAACCGCACCGCACCGCAAUAUUAAUAUAUAUAAUACUGUUUAAGACUCCNUAAAACUUAACUAUCAGGAGUCCUAGUCCAGCAGUCCAGCACGCAGUAGCCCAGAAGAUAUAGACACUUAUCAGGCUGUUGCUUUUGGUAAUGAAAUUACUUUCUACUUCAACUAUCUCAGUCAGUUUGUUUAAGACUUUAAUCGGUGUGCUACUGUGUUGUUUAAGACUCCUCUGUUAAGUUUUAUUAAUGUUCCAGAUUUGAAAUUUAUGUUCAAAUUUAGAGAUAUUUAAUUAGUUUUAUCGCAUGUGGAAACCGCAGUGAACCGCACCACACCGCACCGCAUUUUCGUGGUGUGGUUUAUGUGGUUUUAGAAUUUCGUGGUGCGGUUGCGGUUUGAGAUUUUGGUUAAACCGCAUGUGCGGUUUGGUUUGCGGUUUUAGGAAAAAACCGCACCGCCCGCACCGCGAUCACCCCUAUACCUAACCGUGAAACGGAAAAAAGAAUCAUAAUGCUCGCCGAUACAUGACAAGAUCUCCCGACCCAUACGAGAGUCUUUUGCAAUAUUGUCAAUGUCCCUCUCAUUUUUUUACAUAUUUUUUUAUAUUUUUCGACACGUAUUUGAAGGCGUAUACAAAACAUAUUUUUUCAUAAUUUUUGUUUGAAAUUUUUUAAUAAAAAUUUAGAUAAUAAAUAUUUAUGCAGAAGAAAAAAAAUUUAAAAUAAUUUAUCAAAACUAUAUUUUAUGAAAAUAUUAGAAUGCGUGCCGAGCUCUUGUCUCCCGAUGUAAACAAUUGAGGGGACGGAGGGGAUACAACUCUAUAAGCCAAGUGAAACUUCAUACAAAAGUGAAUAACAGAGAAGCUAUCAACAAUGGAAGGCCAAUUCAUGCUGAUGCCAAACAGACUCAGCAGUAACAGGAGGAAGCAAAAGGUAAAAAAGUUCUAUGAAUAGAGAGCCAAUGCAGGUAAGCAAGAAAAUGUAGUUUCAUGGACACACUCUAAAAAUACCGUAAUAAAAAGGUGCGCAGAGAGCUAGAGAUGUGUGCGUUCGAGAAGACGAGAAAGAACAAGAAAGAAUUUGCCAGGAAGAUUAGGUUCCUCUAUUUUUAUGGGUCACAGUUGUAAUUCCAGUUACGGUCUUUCUAAUGUGUGCCCAAGGGCACACAAUAAUCACCAACUUUCAUGAAAAUGGCUUGUUUUUAUUGGUUGAAUUGAUGUGCAUACAGGGGGGCCAUCAUCAUUUAUUAUUCAUCUACCAAUCAAAACUCACCAUUCUUAUAGAAGUUAGUGACUAUUGUGUGCUCAUGGGCACACCAUAGAAAAUCUCUUCCAGUUAAUGAACAAAGCACCAUAAGCUCGUAGUCGUCGCAAGUAUUACAUGGUGCAUUGUUGAAUAAACAGCAUACCAAUUCUCGAACCACAUUGAAAAGCACCUAUGUUGUGUUUGGUUGGAGAGAAUGGAAUGGAAUGGAAUGAAAUGAGUAAAAAAUAUUUGAAACUAAUAGAGAUAGGAAGAAAGUUUUGAAAAAAUAUGAAGGAGUGCAAAAUUGCUAUGAUGAGAUUUGAGAAGAAAUUGAGGAUGAGAGAGAAUGGAGCAUUCCAUCCUAAAUGGAAGGGGUGUUAUCUAACAUAUGAUGUAGGGAAUGGAAUGGAGGAAGGAAUGAAAUUUCUUAAAAAUCAUCCAUAAGAUAGUUCAUUUUUCAUUCCAUUCCUUCCGGAAUCAUUCACCCCAACCAAACACAACACUAGUUCUUUCACAAAGUUUAUUCGAAACAAGAAACUUGGGAGUAUAUAUACCCCGAUUACAGUUAAAAGCCUAUAAAUUUGAUAGCUCAAAUUCUUCUGCUACAUCAACAACAGAGGACAACAACGUACUACCAGAGUUUCUCGCCGAACAAUUAGCCCGAAUCUCCCCGUUUGUUCCUGUCACCACAUCCAUCUGUCCCAUCUUCAACAUGGCAAUCACAAAUUUCUCAAAAAACAAGGUCUGGUUAACUGCAAAACUCGUAACAAUGCCACGGGUCCUACUAUCCGUAUACAAAUCCUGGUCCGAUGUAAAAAGUCCUUGUCGGUUCAUGAGGUCAACAUAGUACUUGUUGUCAAACACGUUUGGAGUCCGAAUAUCUUGGUCUGUUGUUCCAUCAACUGAUGCAUUUUGGGGGCAUAUGUUUUUGAGGUCUUUGGCGAAGGUUUGGUCCAUGGUAG
rnacentral:lncRNA from 1 species